AACAAACGCUGGCGGCGUGCCUAACACAUGCAAGUCGUACGAGAAAAUUCGCUUCGGCGAGUAAGUAAAGUGGCGCACGGGUGAGUAACGCGUGGAUAAUCUACCCUUUAGCUGGGGAUAACUCAUCGAAAGGUGGGCUAAUACCCGAUAAUACUGCUUCUACUGCGGUUGAGCAGUCAAAGGUAGCCUCUGUUUACAAGCUUCCACUGAAGGAUGAGUCCGCGUACCAUUAGCUAGUUGGUAGGGUAAUGGCCUACCAAGGGGACGAUGGUUAGCUGGUCUGAGAGGAUGCUCAGCCACACUGGAACUGAGACACGGUCCAGACUCCUACGGGAGGCAGCAGUGAGGAAUCUUGCGCAAUGGGGGAAACCCUGACGCAGCAACGCCGCGUGAGUGAGGAAGGUUUUCGGAUCGUAAAGCUCUGUCAGGUGGGAAGAAAUGUAUAGGGGUUAACAGCCCUUAUUCUUGACGGUACCACCAGAGGAAGCACCGGCCAACUCCGUGCCAGCAGCCGCAGUAAUAC
rnacentral:rRNA from 1 species